GAAUAUUUCGAUUGCCGUGAGCG
rnacentral:miRNA from 1 species